AAGUCGUAACAAGGUUUCCGUAGGUGAACCUGCGGAAGGAUCAUUAACACGUAUCCAACGUUAAAACCCCCUGUGAACCUUCAUUGUGGACCCCCAUUCCGUUAGAACGCGGCAAUCCCUGGUAAAUCAUCGCCGAAUGCAUGGUUUGGGCAGCUCCGCGAGGCAAGUGGCCUGGCAUUCGUAAGAAUGGCGCAGUCACGAUCGCUAGAGGCCGACACGGCCGGCGACCGGGUCACUGGGCUCUGCCCCCCUAUCACCUUUGCAUGAAACCGGGCCUGCGCUUAAUUGUGCGGCCACCAAACUUCGAACAACUGUUAACAAUGGAUAUCUUGGUUCUC
rnacentral:misc_RNA from 1 species